UACGUAGGAUCCGAGCAUUAUCCGGAGUGACUGGGUGUAAAGAGUUGCGUAGGUGGCAUAAUAAGUAGCUAGUGAAAUCUGGUGGCUCAACCAUUCAGACUAUUAGCUAAACUGUUAAGCUCGAGACCGUUAGGGGUAACUGGAAUUUCUAGUGUAGGAGUGAAAUCCGUAGAUAUUAGAAAGAACACCAAUAGCGUAGGCAGGUUACUGGGACGGUUCUGACACUAAGGCACGAAAGCGUAGGGAGCAAACGGG
rnacentral:rRNA from 1 species